UACGUAGGGUGCAAGCGUUGUCCGGAAUUAUUGGGCGUAAAGGGCUCGUAGGCGGUCUGUCACGUCGGGAGUGAAAACUCGGGGCUUAACCCCGAGCCUGCUUCCGAUACGGGCAGACUAGAGGUAUGCAGGGGAGAACGGAAUUCCUGGUGUAGCGGUGAAAUGCGCAGAUAUCGGGAGGAACACCGGUGGCGAAGGCGGUUCUCUGGGCCUUACCUGACGCUGAGGAGCGAAAGCGUGGGGAGCGAACAGGAUUAGAAACC
rnacentral:rRNA from 1 species